AUUGAACGCUGGCGGAAUGCUUUACACAUGCAAGUCGAGCGGCAGCGCGGGGCAACCUGGCGGCGAGCGGCGAACGGGUGAGUAAUACAUCGGAACGUACCCAGUUGUGGGGGAUAGCCCGGCGAAAGCCGGAUUAAUACCGCAUACGACCUGAGGGUCAAAGGGGGGGAUCGCAAGACCUCUCGCAAUUGGAGCGGCCGAUGGCGGAUUAGCUAGUUGGUAGGGUAAAGGCCUACCAAGGCGACGAUCCGUAGCGGGUCUGAGAGGACGGCCCGCCACACUGGAACUGAGACACGGUCCAGACUCCUACGGGAGGCAGCAGUGGGGAAUUUUGGACAAUGGGGGAAACCCUGAUUCAGCCAUUCCGCGUGAGUGAAGAAGGCCUUCGGGUUGUAAAGCUCUUUCGGCAGGAACGAAACGGUGGGUCCUAAUACGAUCUGCUAAUGACGGUACCUGAAGAAGAAGCACCGGCUAACUACGUGCCAGCCGCCGCGGUAAUAC
rnacentral:rRNA from 1 species